rnacentral:rRNA from 1 species
UUAAGUUAUUAAGGGCGCACGGUGGAUGCCUUGGCACUAGAAGCCGAUGAAGGACGUUACUAACGACGAUAUGCUUUGGGGAGCUGUAAGUAAGCUUUGAUCCAGAGAUUUCCGAAUGGGGAAACCCAGCAUGAGUUAUGUCAUGUUAUCGAUAUGUGAAUACAUAGCAUAUCAGAAGGCACACCCGGAGAACUGAAACAUCUUAGUACCCGGAGGAAGAGAAAGAAAAUUCGAUUCCCUUAGUAGCGGCGAGCGAAACGGGAAGAGCCCAAACCAACAAGCUUGCUUGUUGGGGUUGUAGGACACUCUAUACGGAGUUACAAAGGACGACAUUAGACGAAUCAUCUGGAAAGAUGAAUCAAAGAAGGUAAUAAUCCUGUAGUCGAAAAUGUUGUCUCUCUUGAGUGGAUCCUGAGUACGACGGAGCACGUGAAAUUCCGUUGGAAUCUGGGAGGACCAUCUCCUAAGGCUAAAUACUCUCUAGUGACCGAUAGUGAACCAGUACCGUGAGGGAAAGGUGAAAAGCACCCCGGAAGGGGAGUGAAAUAGAACCUGAAACCGUGUGCUUACAAGUAGUCAGAGCCCGUUAAUGGGUGAUGGCGUGCCUUUUGUAGAAUGAACCGGCGAGUUACGAUUUGAUGCAAGGUUAAGCAGUAAAUGUGGAGCCGUAGCGAAAGCGAGUCUGAAUAGGGCGUUUAGUAUUUGGUCGUAGACCCGAAACCAGGUGAUCUACCCUUGGUCAGGUUGAAGUUCAGGUAACACUGAAUGGAGGACCGAACCGACUUACGUUGAAAAGUGAGCGGAUGAACUGAGGGUAGCGGAGAAAUUCCAAUCGAACCUGGAGAUAGCUGGUUCUCUCCGAAAUAGCUUUAGGGCUAGCCUCAAGUGAUGAUUAUUGGAGGUAGAGCACUGUUUGGACGAGGGGCCCCUCUCGGGUUACCGAAUUCAGACAAACUCCGAAUGCCAAUUAAUUUAACUUGGGAGUCAGAACAUGGGUGAUAAGGUCCGUGUUCGAAAGGGAAACAGCCCAGACCACCAGCUAAGGUCCCAAAAUAUAUGUUAAGUGGAAAAGGAUGUGGCGUUGCCCAGACAACUAGGAUGUUGGCUUAGAAGCAGCCAUCAUUUAAAGAGUGCGUAAUAGCUCACUAGUCGAGUGACACUGCGCCGAAAAUGUACCGGGGCUAAACAUAUUACCGAAGCUGUGGAUUGUCCUUUGGACAAUGGUAGGAGAGCGUUCUAAGGGCGUUGAAGCAUGAUCGUAAGGACAUGUGGAGCGCUUAGAAGUGAGAAUGCCGGUGUGAGUAGCGAAAGACGGGUGAGAAUCCCGUCCACCGAUUGACUAAGGUUUCCAGAGGAAGGCUCGUCCGCUCUGGGUUAGUCGGGUCCUAAGCUGAGGCCGACAGGCGUAGGCGAUGGAUAACAGGUUGAUAUUCCUGUACCACCUAUAAUCGUUUUAAUCGAUGGGGGGACGCAGUAGGAUAGGCGAAGCGUGCGAUUGGAUUGCACGUCUAAGCAGUAAGGCUGAGUAUUAGGCAAAUCCGGUACUCGUUAAGGCUGAGCUGUGAUGGGGAGAAGACAUUGUGUCUUCGAGUCGUUGAUUUCACACUGCCGAGAAAAGCCUCUAGAUAGAAAAUAGGUGCCCGUACCGCAAACCGACACAGGUAGUCAAGAUGAGAAUUCUAAGGUGAGCGAGCGAACUCUCGUUAAGGAACUCGGCAAAAUGACCCCGUAACUUCGGGAGAAGGGGUGCUCUUUAGGGUUAACGCCCAGAAGAGCCGCAGUGAAUAGGCCCAAGCGACUGUUUAUCAAAAACACAGGUCUCUGCUAAACCGUAAGGUGAUGUAUAGGGGCUGACGCCUGCCCGGUGCUGGAAGGUUAAGAGGAGUGGUUAGCUUCUGCGAAGCUACGAAUCGAAGCCCCAGUAAACGGCGGCCGUAACUAUAACGGUCCUAAGGUAGCGAAAUUCCUUGUCGGGUAAGUUCCGACCCGCACGAAAGGCGUAACGAUUUGGGCACUGUCUCAACGAGAGACUCGGUGAAAUCAUAGUACCUGUGAAGAUGCAGGUUACCCGCGACAGGACGGAAAGACCCCGUGGAGCUUUACUGUAGCCUGAUAUUGAAAUUCGGCACAGCUUGUACAGGAUAGGUAGGAGCCUUUGAAACGUGAGCGCUAGCUUACGUGGAGGCGCUGGUGGGAUACUACCCUAGCUGUGUUGGCUUUCUAACCCGCACCACUUAUCGUGGUGGGA